CUAUAUAGAGUUGCAGAGAUGUGAAGGAAUAGGUUAGAAACAUACUACUAUAUAGAGUUGCAGAGAUGUGAAGGAAUAGGUUAGAAACAUACUACUAUAUAGUUGCAGAGAUGUGAUGGAGUAGGUUAGAAACAUACUACUAUAUAGUUGCAGAGAUGUGAAGGAGUAGGUUAGAAACAUACUACUAUAUAGUUGCAGAGAUGUGAACUAGGU